rnacentral:rRNA from 1 species
AACGUAGGAGGCUAGCGUUAUUCGGAUUUAUUGGGCGUAAAGCGCGUGCAGGCGGCCUGACAAGUUGGAUGUGAAAGCUCCUGGCUAAACCGGGAGAGGUCGUUCAAAACUGUUGGGCUAGAGAAUGGGAGAGGGAGGUGGAAUUCCGGGUGUAGUGGUGAAAUGCGUAGAUAUCCGGAGGAACACCAGUGGCGAAAGCGGCCUCCUAGACCAUUUCUGACGCUCAGACGCGAAAGCUAGGGUAGCAAACGGG